rnacentral:rRNA from 1 species
AUGUUAUUAGUUUGACCGUACUAUUUGAAUAAGUAACGACUAACUAUGUGCCAGCAGUCGCGGUAAUACAUAGGUUGCAAGCGUUAUCCGGAUUUAUUGGGCGUAAAACAAGCGCAGGCGGAUUAGAAAGUCUGGUGUUAAAAUCAACUGCUUAACGGUUGAAUGCAUUGGAAACUUCUAGUCUAGAGUGUGGUAGAGAGUUCUGGAACUCCAUGUGGAGCGGUGGAAUGCGUAGAUAUAUGGAAGAACACCAGCUGCGAAGGCGAGAACUUAGGCCAUUACUGACGCUUAGGCUUGAAAGUGUGGGGAGCAAAUAGGAUUAGAUACCCUAGUAGUCCACACCGUAAACGAUGGAUGUUAAACGUCGGGGCGAUCACCUCGGUGUUGCAGUUAACACAUUAAACAUCCUGCCUGGGUAGUACAUUCGCAAGAAUGAAACUCAAACGGAAUUGACGGGGACCCGCACAAGUGGUGGAGCAUGUUGCUUAAUUCGACGGUACACGAAAAACCUUACCUAGACUUGACAUCCUUGGCAAAACUAUAG